CACGGCGCAGGUAGUGUCGGCCGAGGACAUGACGGCGUGGCGCAAAGGCCGUGACUGCACUAACGCGGAAAAAUAUUGCACGAAAAGCGCGUCAUUAGCUCAUUUCAAUAAACAAAUUAAACAAAAAUAAUCACCCACUCUAAAAAUGGAAGCAUUACAAUAAUAAACAAACUAUAAAUAAAUAUUUUUAUUGAAUACAUA